GCCUGGGUGGCUCAGUCGGUUGAGCGUCUGACUUCGGCUCAGGUCAUGAUCUCGCGGUCCGUGGGUUCGAACCCCGCGUCGGGCU
rnacentral:tRNA from 1 species